AGCAGCCGCGGUAAUUCCAGCUCCAAUAGCGUAUAUUAAAGUUGUUGCAGUUAAAAAGCUCGUAGUUGAAUUUCGAGACCGGUUUAUUGGUCGUGCUUUUGUACGUACUGGUAUUAUUGGUUUCUCCUUUCUGACGAAUCUUAAUGCCAUUAAUUUGGUGUUUUGGGGAAUCAGGACUGUUACUUUGAAAAAAUUAGAGUGUUUAAAGCAGGCUCACGCUUGGAUACAUUAGCAUGGAAUAACGGAAUAGGACGUUUGAUUCUAUUUUGUUGGUUUCUAGGAUCGACGUAAUGAUUAAUAGGGAUAGUUGGGGGCAUUAGUAUUCAAUUGUCAGAGGUGAAAUUCUUGGAUUUAUUGAAGACUAACUACUGCGAAAGCAUUUGCCAAGGAUGUUUUCAUUAAUCAAGAACGAAAGUUAGGGGAUCGAAGACGAUCAGAUACCGUCGUAGUCUUAACCAUAAACUAUGCCGACUAGGGAUCGGAUGAUGUUAAUUUUUAAUGACUCAUUC
rnacentral:rRNA from 1 species